UCCAUUGUAGUUUAGUUGGUUUGGAUGCUCUUCUCUCACUUGAGAGACCUGGGUUUGAGUCAUGGCAAUGGAA
rnacentral:tRNA from 1 species